CUCCGACUCCUACGGGAGGCAGCAGUGAGGAACAUUGGUCAAUGGCCGGAAGGCUGAACCAGCCAAGCCGCGUGAAGGACGAAGGUGCCAAGCAUUGUAAACUUCUUUUGUCAAGGGACAAAAUCAGGCUCGAGAGCCUGACCGAGGGUACUUGAAGAAAAAGCAUCGGCUAACUCCGUGCCAGCAGCCGCGGUAAUACGGAGGAUGCGAGCGCUAUCCGGAUUUAUUGGGUUUAAAGGGUGCGUAGGCGGAUUGUUAAGUCCGGGGUAAAGGCCCGGGCCCCACCCCCGGCGAGCCGUUGAAACUGGCUGUCUUGAGAUGUCGAGAGGUAUGCGGAAUGCGCAGUGUAGCGGUGAAAUGCUUAGAUAUUGCGCAGAACUCCGAUUGCGAAGGCAGCAUACCGGCGGCGAUCUGACGCUGAGGCACGAAAGCGUGGGUAUCGAACAGGAUUAGAUACCCUCGUAAC
rnacentral:rRNA from 1 species